rnacentral:tRNA from 1 species
GGCCCAUUAUCUCAGUUGGUUAGAGCGUCAUGCUAAUAACGCGAAGGUCGUGUGUUCGAUCCCCCCAUGGACCA